rnacentral:lncRNA from 1 species
GUCCUCUGGCUCUAGAGUCUGUGCCUGUAGCUUCCAGUCUAUGCAUCAGCUCAAACAGCACUUGGCUUCAGUACCAGGUACAGGUUGACCAAAAGGCAGUGCCAGAAAACAACUCUACACCCUCAAAGUCAUGAGGCUGAGCCUUCCACAGUGCACCUCUGUUUGAUACCCAGUGCCACCUCUAACAGAAAAUUAUAAUAAUA